rnacentral:misc_RNA from 1 species
GGGAGGGAAAGCCUAACCAAGUGGUUUUCUCCUUGUAGAAAACUAGGACUUGCAGCAGAACAUGGCUACUUUUUGAGAUGGGAACUAGAACAGAAAUGGGAAGUAUGCAGUCAGACCUCUGAUUUUGGUUGGAUGCAACUUGCUGAACCCGUGAUGCAAUCCUAUACAGACGCUACAGAUGGUUCUUGCAUAGAAAGAAAGGAAAGUGCUAUAGUGUGGCAGUAUCGUGAUGCAGAUUCUGGAUUUGGGUUUUCUCAGGCAAAGGAGAUGCUUGAUCAUCUGGAGAGUGUUUUAGCGAAUGAACCCGUUGCCGUGAAAAGCGGUCAGCACAUUGUGGAAGUAAAGCCUCAGGGGGUCACCAAAGGUUUAGUUGCAGA